rnacentral:misc_RNA from 1 species
AAGACUAUAGACCUGCGGAGUACCUGCGGAGGGAUCAUUACCGAGUGUGACCCUCCUGUAAAAAAGGGGGUACCUCCCGUCCUUUUGCUAGGCUCUCCCCCACCAAAUUUUUUUUGGGAGGGGAAGCUUUUUUUAAACCUUCUGCUUCGGUGGGUUUUAACCCCACCGGAACAACCUCAAAAAUUCUUUAUAAUUGUUCUGUCCGAGAAAAUUUUUAUAAAAUGAAAAAACUUUUAGCAA